rnacentral:lncRNA from 1 species
CAUAAAGCUAUGCAGCCUUCGGAGGCUGUGUGGUACAUUUUCACGUUUUGAAGAUCUCUGAUGAGCAGAGGAGAUGGUGGUGUUCAAAACUGAUCACUGAGAGCUCAACAGCCAUGAAAAACAGAAAGCAAAGAUGCUGAAUCAUUUGCUAUCAACACAUGAUUACUUCUGAGAGUGUGGUGUUUGCUCCAACUAGAUGAACCCUUCACUACUUCAGGCUGACUGCUUUAGCGUGGUAG